CAGCAGCCGCGGUAAAACGAAGGGGGCUAGCGUUGUUCGGAAUUACUGGGCGUAAAGCGCACGUAGGCGGAUAUUUAAGUCAGGGGUGAAAUCCCGCAGCUCAACUGCGGAACUGCCUUUGAUACUGGGUAUCUUGAGUAUGGAAGAGGUAAGUGGAAUUCCGAGUGUAGAGGUGAAAUUCGUAGAUAUUCGGAGGAACACCAGUGGCGAAGGCGGCUUACUGGUCCAUUACUGACGCUGAGGUGCGAAAGCGUGGGGAGCAAACAGGAUUAGAUACCCCGGUAGUCCCUGUCUCUUAUAC
rnacentral:rRNA from 1 species